GACGAACGCUGGCGGCGUGCCUAACACAUGCAAGUCGAACGGAGCACUUCGGUGCUUAGUGGCGAACGGGUGAGUAACGCGUGAGAAACCUGCCUUUCAGUGGGGGACAACAGUGGGAAACUACUGCUAAUACCGCAUAAUGUUAUUUGGGGGCAUCCCCGAAUAACCAAAGAUUUAUUGCUGAAAGAUGGUCUCGCGUCUGAUUAGCUAGUUGGUGAGGUAACGGCUCACCAAGGCGACGAUCAGUAGCCGGUCUGAGAGGAUGAACGGCCACAUUGGGACUGAGAUACGGCCCAG
rnacentral:rRNA from 1 species